rnacentral:rRNA from 1 species
CUACGGGUCGCAGCAGUGAGGAAUAUUGCGCAAUGGGGGAAACCCUGACGCAGGGACGCCGCGUGGAUGAUGAAGGCCUUCGGGUCGUAAAAUCCUGUCAGAAGGAAAGAAGUGUAUGGUAGCUAAUAUCUGCCAUACUUGACGGUACCUUCAAAGGAAGCACCGGCUAACUCCGUGCCAGCAGCCGCGGUAAUACGGAGGGUGCAAGCGUUGUUCGGAAUUACUGGGCGUAAAGCGCGCGUAGGCGGUUUUAUAAGUCAGAUGUGAAAGUCCACGGCUCAACCAUGGAAGUGCACUUGAAACUGUAAGACUUGAGUAUUGGAGGGGGUAGUGGAAUUCCCGGUGUAGAGGUGAAAUUCGUAGAUAUCGGGAGGAAUACCGGUGGCGGAGGCGACUAUCUGGCCAAAUACUGACGCUGAGGUGCGAAAGCGUGGGGAGCAAACAGGAUUAGAUACCCGCGUAGUC